CUAAAUGGACUCAUGGCGGACGGGUGAGUAACGCGUAAAGAACUUGCCCUUUANACUGGGAUAACAGAGGGAAACUUCUGAUAAUACUGGAUAAGUUAGUAUAUCGCAUGAUAUGCAAAUGAAAGCUACGGCACUAAAGGAGAGCUUUGCGUCCUAUUAGCUAGUUGGUAAGGUAAGAGCUUACCAAGGCGAUGAUAGGUAGCCGGCCUGAGAGGGUGGACGGCCACAAGGGGACUGAGAUACGGCCCUUACUCCUACGGGAGGCAGCAGUGGGGAAUAUUGGACAAUGGAGGGAACUCUGAUCCAGCAAUUCUGUGUGUGUGAAGAAGGUUUUAGGACUGUAAAACACUUUUAGUAGGGAAGAAAAAAAUGACGGUACCUACAGAAGAAGCAACGGCUAAAUACGUGCCAGCAGCCGCGGUAAUACGUAUGUUGCGAGCGUUAUCCGGAAUUAUUGGGCUUAAAGGGCAUCUAGGCGGUAAGACAAGUUGAAGGUGAAAACCUGUGGCUCAACCAUAGGCUUGCCUACAAAACUGUUGAACUAGAGUACUGGAAAGGUGGGUGGAACUACACGAGUAGAGGUGAAAUUCGUAGAUAUGUGUAGGAAUGCCGAUGAUGAAGAUAACUCACUGGACAGAAACUGACGCUGAAGUGCGAAAGCUAGGGGAGCAAACAGGAUUAGAUACCCUGGUAGUCCUAGCUGUAAACGAUGAUCACUGGGUGUGGGGAUGCGAAGUCUCUGUGCCGAAGCAAAAGCGAUA
rnacentral:rRNA from 1 species